UGUCGUAGCCUGGGUCCAGUUGGAGCACCAUGAUGCUUAGACGAAAGGUGGAGUAAGGAAUAUAUUUGAACACUGUAAAAAAUACAAUGCAUGGUGAGUAACCUUCUAGGAUUAAGUGAACUGUUACUAUCAAAUAAAGCUGCUACUUAUCAGAAGCUGACCAAAUAGAAAUGCAGACAGACUUAGUCAAUUUAUUAGCAAUCUAAGUAACCUGAAGAAGUCCGGUAAGUAGAACAAGUCGGGCGGGAGGCACAAGCAUGAGUGAAUCUGCGAACUGUUGCACUCAAAAUCUGCUUAAAGUUCAAGAUAGAAUAAAGUCGAGGAACUCAAUGAUUGACUGUUGAUGCUUUGAAUUAAAGUACCUUCAAGUUCAUAAUGUAUUCAUGCCUUCAAGUUCGCCAUCUCUCUUGCGUUCAUGUUGCAUCUAUUAUAUCCAUCUGAUCAUCUCCCAGGCCUCAAAAACACCAGAGCUAGCGGUCAUUUCAUUUGCGAAUGGGUAAUGCAAGAAGCAAAGCCGGUGAACAUGAACAAGAAGACGGCAUAGCUACAGGUAGUGUUCACUGUACUAUGAAUACUAGCUUUUCUGCUAAUAUUGCGCUUCUUGCAUAAUGUAUUGCAGAUCAGACGAGCGUAAAACAUGCUGAAGAAUACAACGCAAACUUGAUACCCGUUGAUGAACAAGUAGAUGCUAUU
rnacentral:lncRNA from 1 species